UACGGAGGAUGCGAGCGUUAUCCGGAUUUAUUGGGUUUAAAGGGUGCGUAGGCGGACUGUCAAGUCAGCGGUAAAAUUGAGAGGCUCAACCUCUUCCCGCCGUUGAAACUGGUGGUCUUGAGUGGAUGAGAACUACGCGGAAUGCGUGGUGUAGCGGUGAAAUGCAUAGAUAUCACGCAGAACUCCGAUUGCGAAGGCAGCGUACCGGCAUCCAACUGACGCUGAGGCACGAAAGCGUGGGGAUCAAACAGG
rnacentral:rRNA from 1 species